rnacentral:rRNA from 1 species
GACGAACGCUGGCGGCGUGCUUAACACAUGCAAGUCGAACGGUGAAGGAGAGCUUGCUCUCCGGAUCAGUGGCGAACGGGUGAGUAACACGUGGGCAACCUGCCCCAGACUUCGGGAUAACGCUUCGAAAGAGGUGCUAAUACCGGAUACGAACUCCUUGGGCAUCCUUGGAGUUGGAAAGUUUUUCGGUCUGGGAUGGGCCCGCGGCCUAUCAGCUUGUUGGUGAGGUAACGGCUCACCAAGGCGACGACGGGUAGCCGGCCUGAGAGGGCGACCGGCCACACUGGGACUGAGACACGGCCCAGACUCCUACGGGAGGCAGCAGUGGGGAAUAUUGCGCAAUGGGCGAAAGCCUGACGCAGCAACGCCGCGUGAGGGAUGACGGCCUUCGGGUUGUAAACCUCUUUCAGCAGGGAAGAAGCGAAAGUGACGGUACCUGCAGAAGAAGCACCGGCUAACUACGUGCCAGCCGCCGCCGUAA